ACUCUGCAGAUGUCUUAUUUGAAAAGUAACCGGCUUUGUCCUGCCAUUAUAUAAGGAAGAGUUGCCUGAUUAAAUAUAGAAAUAAGCUUUUCGUUACUUGCUGUUUCAAGCGGUUGGCCUGUGUGCUUCUAUGAAGACCAAGAUGUGUGCAUCGAUGCCAGGGCAGAGCAGUGGUUUGCUCUCUAAACAUAGCUUUUAAGUUUGGGGAGAAGUGAUUAAUUGUCUCAGCUUUUAUUUUUAAAACGGAGACAGCAUGGACCAUUUUCACCAGUAACCUCUUAGUGUUUCUCUGGGAGCCCUGAGAUCUGUCUUGGUUGCUUCUGAGCUCGAGAAUGAAGUUAAAAGACAGUGAGAUUCUGGGAUAAUGGAGCCUGAGGCUAAGCUUGUUUAUCUCUGCUGGGUCUGUAAUAAAAGGGUUUGCUAAGCAAGUGAAGGAUGGAAGUACGAAAUUGGGAAAUGUUUAACACCUGCAUGGGGAGGCGAGUAUUGCCAGGAACAGCCGUUUUAAUCGAAACCGUUGUGUUAAUUACAAAUAUAUCUCUGUUUAUUGAAGUGUAAGUCUCUAAGUUGUGUUAAAAUUUUGCCGGGGGUGGGGGGGGAGGUGGGGAGAGAGGUCACUUUGUGUUUAAAAGUGAUAAGUCUGCGUUUCUUGAAAAUAAUGCAUAAUUCAACCCAUAUUCCCUCCAAUUAGUGAAAUUUAUAGAAGGCAUUUCUAUAAUUGACCAUAGCAACAUGAGAGACUAAUGGCAGUUCUGCUGUUAGGGCAGGAUAUUUGUUUUCCUUCUUGAAGUCCCAGCAGCUGUUGUAGCCUCCUAUUUUGCGAAAAAAGGAGAAACAACCCCCAAAAUUGCGAUGUGUUUUUCAUGUGAGAGGAAUGCAAGCUGAUCCCUAAGAAUAAAGGGAAAUGAUUGCAUUGGCGCAGUUAUUAAUUUCAGAAAUGUCUUUGAAUCUGUACUAUAUGCUGGAGUGUUAUGUCAGUGCUUUGUGACUUCCUGGGGUGACGUUUAAGAAAUGUAAGAUUUAGAUCCUCUGUUUUGCCAAAUAGAAAUGGCCUCAAUUAUUAAGUAUUUUUCCUAACAAAAAUCGGUUGUAAAGGAAUUUUUCACCGUGCUCAAGUUCCUUGGUGUGUGAUCAAGCCUUAAAUUUUGGUAAUAGUGUAUGUUUAGUAGGGUUCGCUCUUGGGGAAGACAGCGUAUAACCCCUACGGCAGACAGCUUCAGGGGACCAUUACAAUGUGCUUAGAGUAGUUUACCUGUGAUAGUCAUUCUUUGAAAUGAAGGAAGAUUUUGAUCAUCAGUUUGGAAAUGGAAGAAUAGCAGGGCAUUGUACUCCAGGUAGUGUAAAAUGUUAGCAAUUUCUUCAAAUCUCACAUUAACUUCAGUAUGUUUUUUAGUUGUAUUGAAUUCUGUGCACCGGGGCAGGUGACUUUGUGCUCUUGUUCCUUUUUAAACAAUUGCUUGUAACCUUGACUGGGCCUUUUUCAUCUCCUUUCUCUUCUCUUCCUUUCCUAAUAUUUGUUUUGCUUAAUCGGUCAAUAUUGAUACAUUUUUUUUUCCAUUUUACAAAAACAACCAAGAAGAGCCUACCAUGAUUUCAUCAGCCCUCUGAUUGCUUGACUAAUGGAAAUCUGUUGGUCUCUCCAACAUCAAGGGUGCAGUUUUAAAAGGAAGGAGUUAGCGAUUCUCCAACCAUAUGUCUUUAAUUUUUAAGAAUCUGGCAGGGCCUGAAACAUGUCUUUUUCUUCCAAGGUUUAAAAAAAUCCAACUGUAAUAUAAACCCUACCUACUUAAGAUUAUUUACUCCACAUUCAAUGAGUCCUACAAUCAUAGUGAUAAUUAUUAUUUUAGUUACAAUCGAUAGCAUUCACUGAGCACUGACUGGGGGUCUUUUUAGAAAACAUCAUGAGGAUUAGCCCGUUUAAAAAAAAUUUCAUUGAUGUCUACUUGAUGUACACUGUUAACUUCUGCUGUACAGCCAAGUGGCUCAGUUCUACACAGAUGUAUUUUUUCAUACUCUUUUCCACUGUGGCUUAUCACGGGAUGUUGAACACGGUUCCCCGUGCUAUACAGCAGGACCUUGUUGAGGAUUAACCCAUUUUAUUUAUUUAUUUAUUUAUUUAUUUAUUUAUUUUUGUCUUUUCGCCUUUUCUAGGGCCGCUCCCACGGCAUAUGGAGGUUCCCAGGCUAGGGGUCUCAUCAGAGCUGUAGCCACCGGCCUACGCCAGAGCUACAGCAACGCGGGGAUCCGAGCCGUGUCUGCGACCCACACCACAGCUCAGGGCAACGCCGGAUCCUUAACCCACGGAGCGAGGCCAGGGAUCGAACCUGCACCCUCAUGGUUCCUAGUCGGAUUCGUUAACCCCUGUGCCACGGCGGGAACUCCUAGACGUAUUCUUUAAGCAUUUAUGAAACAUCUUCUAUGUGCCCAGCAAAGUGUCAGUUCCUAGGGAUACAAAAAUGAAUAAGAUGGAUCCCCUCUCAGUCCUCAAAGAAAUAAUCAUCACCUUCUGUCAAAAUGGGCUCUGGGUUUUAUUACCUGUCCAGGUUUGGAAGCUCCCUGAGGUCCAGCAUCCCGUCUUGCUCAGCUUUAUAAUCCCCCAUCAUGCCUUGCACACAGUUCAGGGGCUCAACAAGCGUUUAUUAGCUAGAUCUGAAAACCACCCAACUUUUUCUCCGGGAAAGAAACAAAAGGGCAUACAUUCCCAGAAGCCCUUUCCAAAGUGUCACCUUUGGCGUGGCGCUUUGAUCUAACAAGAGCAGGCGUGUUAGACUUUGAAGCCCCAUACUUCUCUCGACAUCAAGACCCAUCACUGCCAGGUACAGGAAGGGUCUCCUUUUUCCUGUGAAACCUCCAAUGGAAGGACUUCUGCCCAUUGAUACUCCUGGAUAAGUGCACAUUCCAAUCUGCCCCCUCUCUUGUUAGGCCCAGAGUUGCUAAAGUGCUUUAGCUUCCAACAGGUACCUCUGUUGAAAAGAUUCCAUGCCAUCUACUCAGCUGUAGCAGAGCCCAGCAGAAGAAUUGUCCCAGGCAGAAUGAGGCUUUUAAGACCCACCCACCCCGCAUCCCCUGGCCGUAUAGAAGAGAGUUUCCAGUGGGCUAGUUCUUGAGCUUAAGUCUAGUGUGAAAAGAACAUAGCUUGUGUAAAUGGAUGUCCAGAGUUAGACACUGAAGCAUUUUCUGGGGGGCUUCGGCUCCAGCAUUUGAGCCCUUUGCACCUGUGCUGCACACAAGCGUGAGGAAGAUGAAGGGCUGCGACCUCACAAGUCUUCCGUAUCAUGUGAUGAAUAAUCAAGAAACUUUUCGAAGUAUGAUGAUAAAAUUAAAUCCAGCUCUCAUCUACAGGAAACCCUGCCUCUAGUACAAAUUAUAGACUUAUUGCGUUUAUCUGGCAAUGCCUGUCCUUUAAGUGCUAUGUAAUUAUUCCUAAACCUUUCAGGAAAGAAUUCGAGUAAGAAUAUUUUAAAGCCGUUUAAGCUAUAAUUCACGAACAAGGUGGAAAUCUCAUGUAGUCUUUGGUGCUCGCUCGCUUGCUUAUGUGUGUAUGUAUUUAUUCAGUCAUUUGAUCUUCACAAAUUAACCUUUACUCGCUAGACGUGCUUCUCCUUCUCUGCUGUUUCCACUUGGGCCGACAACUAUAAAUAACCCGGAAUUGAUAUCGGUGCAAAGUGCUGCAGGACAAUCAUUUGCAGCCUCUCAUUGAAACCCACGGCGGCUGUUUUCAUGCCGCGUUACUACAAUGACAGGAAAUGCUGGGAGACCAAAGGAGAGACUUUGAACGCACCCCAAGGAUCACCGCCAGCCCCCUCCCAGAAAGCCACUUUGCUCUUAUGAGCAGAGGCCGGUGUGUUACAGCCAAGGGGGAGAGUGAGGGGACCUGUGCGAAAAGAGGCCCCUGUCAGGACACAGCAGCACAAGUCUCCUCCCUUCGGGACUGCAGACCCCAGCUUCUGCCACCACCAACAGGCCGGGCUGCAUGGAAUUUCCUGAUUGAAUCUGCCAAGGGAGGGACCCGAGACUCUUGGCUGCUGCGGUCCCCCUCAAGCCUCACAACAGAAUCUGAAGGCCGUAAGAAUUAGCUUGGGGGUCCAGAAGCACUGGGUAGAUGAACGUGCAAGUUAUUUUUUAUAAAAUCGAUUUCUGCAUAAAACGAGCCCUUGUCUCAAAAACAUACACCAAACCGGACUAGAAACGGGGGGGGGGGGGCGCAAGUCCUUUGUACUUGGAGAAUAGGUGCUUUUCCUUCAAGUAUGUCAGAGCGAAUUAGGACUAUUAAUGCUUUGACAACUCUGCUCGCUAUUGAGCGGGUCCUUAAAACAAGGGAGGCGAGGGGAGAUGUGAAUAGACAGAUCUCUGACUUAAUAGCCACUUCUCAGGUUGUUCUUUAGUCUCUGAGCAUAUGCACCUGCCUCCCAUUUCCAUUACUGUCAUUAAGAGCCGCGUAUCGGGUGUAAUACGGGACCAUCAGGGGCUUUAUUGCUGUUCUUUGAAAAGGAAUAAAAUCAUGUCCCUUUCAUUCUCCCAGAAACGUGACGUGUUAAAAUGAAGAGCCCUUGGGCUUUGCCCAAUUACUUUGCAGAUAAAGUUUCUUGAUAAAUGUGCCUGGCCGUAAUUUUAAUUUAAACAAGCCAAUACGUCAUCUUCGUUUAAACAUUUCCCAAUUCCAUGUGUGUCCCUGGUAGAAUCUUCUGAAAGAACUGCUUCGAUU
ensembl:lncRNA